CCUACGGGUGGCAGCAGUAGGGAAUUUUGCGCACUGGGCGAAAGCCUGACGCAGCAACGCCGCGUGAACGAGACGCCCUUCGGGGUGUAAAGUUCUGUCAGUGGGGCCGAAAAAUGACGGUACCCCCAGCGGAAGCACCGGCUCACUCCGUGCCAGCAGCCGCGGUACUACGGAGGGUGCAAGCAUUGUCCGGAAUCAUUGGGCGUACAGAUUUCGUAGUCGGCAUUUAAAGUCAGGUGUUAAAGGCGCAGUCUCAACCUGUGUAUGGCACUUGAUACUUGCAAGCUGGAAUGAGGUAGAGGUAAAGGGAAUUCCUGGGGGAGCGGGGAAAUGCUUAGAUAUCAGGAGGAACAGCGGUGGCGUAAGCGCUUUACUGGGCCGUAAUUGACGCUGAGGAACGAAAGCCAGGGUAGCAAAUGGGAUUAGAGACCCGUGUAGUC
rnacentral:rRNA from 1 species